AGGUACGUGUAGUCGGGCUGCCUUCCUUCAGGAAUCUGUGGAAAAAAUUGCUGCCCCACAUCUCAAGCACUAAACCCAGCACAGACCUGUGCUGGCAGUGCCAGAGGAACAACUAUCAGGUCUUCAGAUCUGCCAAUCUGCCAGAUGCUGUUAAGUCAGCCAAGCUGAAGAAGCAAGAGCAGCAAGAGCAGCAUCUCCUGCUUGUUCAGAGUGAGCGGUCUGUCUAGCAGAAGACGGUUGCUGACUGCAAGACCACCUGUCAAGACCUGCAGUUACCUCUGGGGGCCCUACUGAACCAGCAAGCAAAGACAUCAGGAUGCAUUACAGCUUUGAUUUUGCUCAACAAGUGCACUAGCCUGCAGCCAGGUGCACUAGCCUGCAGCCAGGUCCCAUCUACUUCUUUACUCCUCGGAAGUGUGGCUUGUUUGGUGUCUGCUGUGAAGGAAUACCACAACAAGUCAACUACUUGAUUGAUGAAGGCAUGUUGUCCAGCAAAGUGAAGGACAGCACUCUGACAGGGGUCAACAUCCCACAGCUGGUUGGACUGGAGGAUGGUACGGUGCUGGUGGAAAGCUAUGGCUGGCAACAACACCUGACUCUCUACUUCAGGCCGCUGCUGCAGAUCAAACAGUACCGGCACUUCACCUUUAAUGCUCUGGAGCCUGGUGUUGUCGGCAAGGAGCGUUCGGACUCAGUCAGGACCAGGUUUCAGCAGCUGUGCAACGCUGACAUCCUUCCUCCCAUAGAUGGUCUGCCUGUACAAGCACCACCUGGACUGGACACAGCUAGACAAACAUAUAUUUUUGAGAAGAUAAGGGAGUUUUGUUACAAAGAGACUAUGGACGUCACAUGCCCUGCAACAAAGUCAAGGGCAGGACAGAAACAGGCUCUCCGAAUAUAG
rnacentral:lncRNA from 13 species